rnacentral:lncRNA from 1 species
UUUGUCACAACUAGCACCACCGCUAACUACCACUAAAACAUCAUAAACUUCAUAUAUUCUUCGACAGCCACCACCAUUGUCACUAGUAAUGCCACAUCUACCAUCACUUCAAUCACUAUUAUCUCUAUAAUUUAUCUCAACUAACAACCAUCUCCACCAUCACAUCCAACAAUACCUCCAACUAGCACCAACACAUCGUCAAUCAUCAUUCAUUCAUUUUUCAGCCAUCACAUCAAUACCUCCAACUACUAACAUCAAAUAACGUCACAUCACAACCACCACCACUACUAUCAACCACCACCAUCAUAACAAUCACUACAAUACCACCUAUCACAACUAUCACCACUAGCAUUACUAAUCACUAAAU